rnacentral:lncRNA from 1 species
CUGUCCCGAGAGCUGGCCCUGUCCCCACACCCCUGUCCCGAGAGCUGGCCCUGUCCCCACACUGCUGUCCCGAGAGCUCCUGUCCCCACACUGCUGUCCCAAGAGCUGGCCCUGUCCUCACAUCGCUGUCCUGAGAGCUGGCCCUAUCCCUACACCACCGUCCCCUGAGCUCCUGUCCCUGCACUGCUGUCCCUGUCCUUGUACCGCUGUCCCAAGAGCUCCUGUCCCCACACCGCUGUCCCAAGAGCUGUCCCUGUCCCCACACCGCUGUCCCGAGAGCUGUCCCUGUCCCCGGUCUGGUCUGGCAGGUUUCUGUACAGACCAGAGAGUGCCGAGUGAGAUCGGGGCGUUGCGGUGUGUUGAACUGGGACAACGGGCUCUUCUCCAUCCCUGCAGCAGGGCAGAAGCGCUGACGUGCUCUUCUUCUUCCUAAUUC